rnacentral:rRNA from 1 species
UGGGGAAUAUUGCACAAUGGGCGCAAGCCUGAUGCAGCCAUGCCGCGUGUAUGAAGAAGGCCUUCGGGUUGUAAAGUACUUUCAGCGGGGAGGAAGGGAGUAAAGUUAAUAGCUUUGCUCAUUGACGUUACCCGCAGAAGAAGCACCGGCUAACUCCGUGCCAGCAGCCGCGGUAAUACGGAGGGUGCAAGCGUUAAUCGGAAUUACUGGGCGUAAAGCGCACGCAGGCGGUUUGUUAAGUCAGAUGUGAAAUCCCCGGGCUUAACCUGGGAACUGCAUUCGAAACUGGCAGGCUAGAGUCUUGUAGAGGGGGGUAGAAUUCCAGGUGUAGCGGUGAAAUGCGUAGAGAUCUGGAGGAAUACCGGUGGCGAAGGCGGCCCCCUGGACGAAGACUGACGCUCAGGUGCGAAAGCGUGGGGAGCAAACAGG